GAUGAACGCUGGCGGCGUGCCUAAUACAUGCAAGUCGAGCGAACAGACGAGGAGCUUGCUCCUCUGACGUUAGCGGCGGACGGGUGAGUAACACGUGGAUAACCUACCUAUAAGACUGGGAUAACUUCGGGAAACCGGAGCUAAUACCGGAUAAUAUAUUGAACCGCAUGGUUCAAUAGUGAAAGACGGUUUUGCUGUCACUUAUAGAUGGAUCCGCGCCGCAUUAGCUAGUUGGUAAGGUAACGGCUUACCAAGGCAACGAUGCGUAGCCGACCUGAGAGGGUGAGCGGCAACAGUGAAACUAAGACACGGCCAAGCCUCCAGGGGGGGGCGGAAGUGGGGAUUCUCCCGCAUUGGGGGAAAGUUUGAGGGAGAACCGCGGGGUGGGUGAUGAAGGUCUUGGGUCCUUAAAACUUUUUUAUUGGGAAAAAAAAAUUGUUAAAGUAAUUAUGCCCUUCUUGGGGUAACCUAAUAGGAAAGCCACGACUAACUCCGUC
rnacentral:rRNA from 1 species